UCUCUUGUGGUGUAACGGUCAACAUCGCCGGUUUUCACUUUCAAGAAAACUUUACUGUGCAUUCGAAUGUACCCGGCAGCUCGGGGUUCGAUUCCCCGCAAGAGAG